rnacentral:rRNA from 1 species
UGCGGAAGGAUCAUUACCUAGAGUUUGUGGGCUUUGCCUGCUAUCUCUUAACCCAUGUCUUUUGAGUACUUACGUUUCCUCGGUGGGUUCGCCCGCCGAUUGGACAAUUUAAACCCUUUGCAGUUGCAAUCAGCGUCUGAAAAACAUAAUAGUUACAACUUUCAACAACGGAUCUCUUGGUUCUGGCAUCGAUGAAGAACGCAGCGAAAUGCGAUAAGUAGUGUGAAUUGCAGAAUUCAGUGAAUCAUCGAAUCUUUGAACGCACAUUGCGCCCCUUGGUAUUCCAUGGGGCAUGCCUGUUCGAGCGUCAUUUGUACCUUCAAGCAUUGCUUGGUGUUGGGUGUUUGUCUCGCCUUUGCGUGUAGACUCGCCUUAAAACAAUUGGCAGCCGGCGUAUUGAUUUCGGAGCGCAGUACAUCUCGCGCUUUGCACUCAUAACGACGACGUCCAAAAGCACAUUUUAACACUCUUGACCUCGGAUCAGGUAGGGAUACCCGCUGAACUUAAGCAUAUCAAUAAGCGGAGGAAGGAUCAUUACCUAGAGUUUGUGGGCUUUGCCUGCUAUCUCUUA